GCAACUCGGGAGCCCAUUAUAUUACAUUCUAAAGUAUGGCUCUGGAAUCAACGUGUGUCAACAUAACAGCAGCAUUGGUCUACAUACAUACAUUACCAAUAAAAGACACAUACACACAGCUCUAAUUGGUGGUAAACAGCAAGUAUUUAAUGAAAUGAUACGUACCAGAUCUAUUGUAUUAUUGUUACAGUUUCUGUAGGGGUUAUUCUACGGUUCUUCUCAUUGUUGUACUGAACACAUAUAUACAAUGAACAUUCAGCUAUCAUCACAGAUUGCACACUAGAUACUGUAGUAAUGCAGUCUAAUACAAGACCAUCAAAAUAAUACAUUAUUUAAAUUUGAUCAGUCCUUAUUUUUUUUUCUCCCAUAAAGAAUACAAAAAGGCCACCCAGAGUUGGGGCACAUCUCCAGCACUCCCAUCGUAACUGUACACCGACCUAUCGCUUGGGGGGUUAAUAAUGGCUUAAAACAACUCAAAUGCGUUGAGAAAAAGAAGAAAAAAAAUCACGAAAAAAAUUAUUAAAAUAAACCCUAAAAAUAAUGCAGUUAAAACAUGUACAAUGCAACUGGACACAAAGUCAGUUGUGUUAAUCCACACAAAACACGUAACAACUUCCUGACAGAAAAAUAAUAAUAAACACAAAAUUAAAAACCCAGUUAAUAAUUGCAUAAAUACUUUAUACAGUUCAUUUCACUCUGGAGAAGAAAUGCACCCUUUUCUUUAAAAUGAUAGCCUGACAACAUAAAAUUGCAUUCGAUAAAAAUCCUGAUUCUUAUUCCUCUCUAAACUUUUUUGUUAUUGUUUUUUUUGUACAUGGAGAAGGUGGAAAUAAUGAACUCAGAUGAAUAAUAAUAAUAAUAAUAAUAUUAAUAAGCCAUCUGGUUUAUUUUGAAGUUGCUUAGUAACAGACAUGUUAUCAGCUGGCUGCUAUGAUACAGUACAUAUUUAGAGUGAUUUACCAAUAGUGAUAAGAGUGCAUAUUACACGGAGGGGGGGAAAGUCGUCGCACUGUAAUCAAUUAUUAACUACUCAUUGACUGCACUUGUGUAACAGCUCUUUAAGUGUUUUAGCUGUCAGAAGAGACUCUCCAAAAAAGUAAAAAAUAAAAUUAAAAUAAAGUGUAAAAAUAAAAAGUGAUUUCUAGUAAAGAAAGCAGCACUUCAAUGCACCGUUGCCCACAGCAUCAUCAACAUACAGAACACGACGAAUGAACGAGGAGGGAUACAGAUCGAUGACGAACCAUGACGAAAACAAACUAUGUUCGUAUUUCACGGUCCCCACAUAUACAUCGAGAAAUAUUCCUAACAUACGCCACACGUAGCUAGCUAACGACAUCUAAGAGUGAAAUGUGACGAGCAAAUCGCUUUUCUUGUGACCGACAGAGUGGAUUUCAUGCUGCAAUCAACUACAGAGAUCGUCCUCAGUCAAAUAUAUAUAGUAGAUGUAAAACACCUAGAACAUUUUAGAUUAUCUCUCACUAACACACACUACUGGGUCUCAUCUCUAGUUUCUACCGCUGCUGUUCCAUAGGUCUCAUCUCUAGUUUCUACCGCUGCUGUUCCAUAGGUCUCAUCUCUAGUUUCUACCGCUGCUGUUCCAUAGGUCUCAUCUCUAGUUUCUACCGCUGCUGUUCCAUAGGUCUCUCUGGUUAACUGGGUCUCAUCUCUAGUUUCUACCGCUGCUGUUCCAUAGGUCUCUC